CGCCGCUUCCACCCCGCGCGCCGCCUCCGGGGUGGCCAGCCUCUAUGACUGCCGCCGGGGGCCGCGCUGCCCAUACGUAGAGUUCAUUCGCCGACCGGCUACCCUAGAGAUUCUUUUUCUUGAUCAAUUGAUUCGGGUUUUCCUCUCUCGCCGGUCGUUUGAGUGUUUCUUUUUGAUUUUCCGAUCUAUAAAUCGAUUUGUGUCGCCCGCCGCCGUCUGUGGUCUACAACGCGCAUACACUCUAUCGACAUCUUCAUCAUCUAGAUGGAUCUGAAUCGGGCCUCUCGUCCUCGCCCGCGACUCCGCGUCGAUCCACACCGCGUGCCGCCUGCAUGGCCGUGCCUGAUGCAUGUUGCAUGCAUGGUGGUUGCUGCAUGCUGCGUCCCGUGCUGGUGGAGGCUGCGCGCAUCGAGCGCAACCUCUUUGCACCGCUGGGUGUCCCUGCUCGGUUGUACGCUUCUGGUUACUCUCUUGCUCUCGUCUUCUUCCUUUCUACUACGAUCGUGUAGAUCUACUUUCUUUCAGCUCCUACUAAAAGUUUCUACAACCGGUUGCCGCAAGUCGAUGUCCUCGAGUAUCGACUGGUAUUACGCUAGUUUAACUGGUUCUUUCCAUGUCGCUCCAAUUUGUGGCAGCCAAGAAAACCCCAAUGGAGGUUGAUGCAGUUCAUGCAGUAGAGGAAAUCCCCUGCUUUGCAAGAAAAGAUUUCUUAAAAAGGAUUGGUAUUGCAAAAUCCGCUUUCACUCAAGUCACAGCUCCACUUCAGACAAAAGAAAGGUCCAUUUUUGUUGUUAAUGUGAGCAACGAACAAGACACAACUUAUUUUCUGGUAGGUAUUGGAAACAAUUCUUGGAAUUGUACCAACUCUGGGUGGGUAAAGAAAUGAGGGGAGAGAUAGAUGGGAUCUAGGCCAGCACGAUGGCGUGGUGGUGGAGGAAUUUUUGCAGGGCUUCGCCAAGCAACUACAGAGGAGGAAGUGGAGGGAGAGAGAGGAGGUGGCGGCCAGAUGGAUGGGUGGGUGCGCCUAGCCCCUUCCCUCCCUUUAUAUAGGGGGUGAGGGGGUCCGGCCAGCCCUGUCCCCCGUUCCAAGCCAAGGGGUGGUGGCCCCCCAACAAGCCUACCCCCCCCCCCUUUCGGGUUUCCACCCUUAGCCACACGGGCCCUUGGUGUGUGGCGCCUGGCCCAUGUAGGGAUAGUGCGCCCCCUCCCUUAAGGGUCCAUGUGGCCCCUCUGGGCAGGUGGGCCCCAUGGAACACCCCUAGAACUUUCUAGAACCCCCCUAUACAAUACCGGUAAAUUCCCGAACUUCUCCAGAACCCUGAAAAACACUUCCCAUAUAUGAAACUUUACCUCCGGACUAUUCCUAAGCUCCUCGUGAUGUCCCGUAUCCCAUACGAGACUCCAAACUACCUUCGGACUCACCGUAAUGAAUAUCCCAAUACGACCCUAGCGUUACUGAACGUUAAGUGCGUGACCCUAUGGGUUCGAGAACAUCUAGACAUGAUCGCGACACCUCUCUGAUCAAUAAUUAAUAGCGGGACCAAGUGCCCAUAAUAACUCCCACAUAUUCAACGAAGGUCUUUAUCGGUUUGAACCAUGAUGUUAAGGAUGAUAAUCUCGUAUACAAUUCCCUUUGUCUCGCGAUAUUUUUACUUUCCCCGAAUUUGAUCAUCGGUAUCGCCGUACCUACUUCAAUCUCAUUACCGGCAAGUUCUCUUUACAUGUUUCGUAAUACAAUAUCCCUGUGACUAAACACAUUACAUGCUUGCAAGCUACUUAGUAUAUCGUGUUGUCUCAGGAGUUUCAGAGAGCAAACAUGAGUCCAAGCCCAAAUCGAGAGAGCGCAAACCCAAUUCUUUGCUGGCCUAACUACUAAUGAUUAAAGGAGAAGGCCCAAAAUAUAAAUUAUACACCAAAACUGACACAUUUGAAACAUAUAUAUAAUUUUGUAUUGUUUUAUUUUAUAUUUAUAUCAUAUUGGCAUAGUUUUGCAUAAAUUUAUAUUAUUUUCCGUACUAACCUGUUAAUUCAGUGCAACCGCCAAUUGCUUUUUCUGCAUGAUUUGGAUUUUCAAGAAAAUCUACUUUUUCUGGCUCAAAAAAUCCAAGAAAAAAUUAGCAAAAAAUUCCAUCCAGAAUUUUUAGGUGGCAACAAACGUAGGUCGGGGGCCACCCACAGGCCCCACAUGGCUAGGGGCGCGUGGCUCCCUAGUGCUCCGUUCCAUUGCAUCUCGGUCACUGUGCCUCUAUAUAUACCUAAAAACUUAGACGAUUUUUAACUCUAAUUUAUCAACUAUUGCACACCUUUUUUUAAUGGCGAUCCAAUCUGGAGGCCUUUUUCUGAGCUUUGUUGGAGGGGGAGUUCUUGACAAUGGCCAUCUCCAUCAACUUGAAGGCCACCAUGAUCGCACGUGAGUAGUUUUCUUUGGACUAUGGGUCAUGGCAGUAGCUAGAUGUUUUUUUCUCCCUUGCUUCUCAACACAAAGAUCCCAUGGGCUACCCUACAUGAUUGUGAUCCAUAUGAUGUAGUCUGCUUGUGUGUUUGUUGGGAUACGACGAAUUAUCACUUAUGAUCAGAUUUAUCCAUGGAUCUUUUUAAGAUCUAUUUGGUUUCUUUGAUGCAUAAUUCUUAUUCCUCUCUAAUCUAUUCUUCUUUCUUUGCCCAAGUUUGAGAUUUGAUCUCCAAGAGGGAGUUGUGUAUGAUAGUUGGGUUCAAUCUUACAAGGUAAUCCAUCGUAGUGACAAAAAGUGGAAAAACCUGUAUUGUGUUGUUUCCACUAGGGAUAGAAAGAUGGUUGCAUAAUUGUCCUUUGAACGUAGGGUGAAGACAAUAUACCAUCUACUUCAUGUCAUCAUUCUUAUUGCAAUACUCUGUUUCUUACUUAAUACUUUAAGAUGCAUGCUGGAUAUAUGUUUGGAUGGAGUAUUAGCUAUGGAUGUAGUUGGAUAAUGGUAUAUAUAUUAGGACAUUGUGCUCAUAUUUUGAUUAUGUUAUGGAUAGUCAUAGUUAUAAAUAUUUCAGCUUAAUUGAUGAUCAACAGUAAUUUGCUUACCACACCAUGCUUUCUUUUGGAGAAAAACCACUAGUGAACCUAUGGACCUCGGUUCAUUUUCUUCCUAUAAACCUUCAAUCUCAAUCAACUCUUUUUUUAAUUCCUUGCUUUUACUUUUCGCUUGCAACAAUCAACUCUUUUUUUAAUUCCUUGCUUUUACUUUUCACUUGCAAUUAAAUCUUCCAUACACUUCUGUUUUUAAUCCUUGUAACUAGCAAGCUAGUAGGACUAACAAUCUCACUGGUCAUGUUGGGGCCAAGGCAAGUUUUGUAUCUGUGUGUGCAUGUGUUGAUCAUUGGUUGUGCUACUAAGCUCCUAUUGGUUCGAUAAACUUGAGCUUACUUGAGGGAAAUUACUGCUUGAUACAAACCCUUGCACUUGGCGAGUCCAACAUCUUUCUAGUUGAGAGGAAGCAAGCAUUUUUCUGUGGUCAUUGUUGGGGAGAUCACACCACAAUCAUGGGUCCUACACUCCUUUGUUUUACUUUCUUAUUUUCUAUAUUGCUUAAUUGCUUGUUAUUUCGCUUUUCUGCUUUCUAGAAAACUCAAAGAACACAAUUUUUUUAAAUUUUAGCAGGCCCUCUUGAGGUAAGAAUGGCCAUGCUUUACGGGUGUAGAUCCCUAAGGCCUUGUUUGGUGGAGGAGGUUUGGGGAGGUUUGGAGGGGAAUAUCCCCGCAGGGCUCAAAAUCCCCAGAAAUCCUCGUCAGCCCAUUUGGCACACAGGGAUUGGGCAGGCCAACCCCCUCUGAUCCCCACGAAUCCCUUCCAAUCCAUGUGGUACAGAAAACCCUCGGAGCCACUCAGGGAAUUGAGAAGAGUUGGACGCUUGCUAUGUUACUGUUGUUGUAGAAAGUUCAACCAAAUAGAGGGAUUUCUGAAGGGGGAGGGAUUAGUGGGGAAUUGAGGGGAUUGGGUGGAGGAGAGGGAUUCACCCAAUCUACUGAAAUCCCCCUCUCCACAAACCUCCCCAAUCCCCUUGUAUCAAAUGAGUCCUAAAGAAAAAUACUUGUUGGGUGUGGCCAUGGGUCGGUCUAGCCUUUGCUCGCCUUGGUCUCCGCCCUUGUCUGGCAGGAACGGUCCCCUUGACCUACCUUCUAUUCCCAGUCGUCCGAUCGGUGAAGAGGAGUCCAGGUAUUGUGCUACGGUGCACAAGAGAUAGAAGAGAAACAGUGAUAUGUUGCUACUAGAGUCUAGAGCCCUCUCCCAUUUUCACUAUAAGGGUCACUGUUCCUUGUGACUUGCCUUGUGCACGUCAGUGGAACCGUUUCCAUAUUGUGGACAUGCUGCUGAACAACCGAAAAUGAAAAUGGAGGCAGGAAGCCAUCGACGAGAGAGUAUUUAGUGAACGAGAUAUAACAGAGUUAAAAGUACAUGUGUGUUUCCUAGGGCUACCGUGAUAUCAAAGUUCAAUCUUCUGUGUGCAGGAUACUAGUGGGACAAAGAACAUAGCAGAAUUUUGAGAUUCGGAGAUGAUUUUAUGUUAGUGUGAUUCACUGACUGCUGUUUCAUCGUUCGUGUAUUGAGCUAUCUGAUACCCUAUUGUGGCAUUUCAUUCUGUUGUUGAUUAUUGUUGUGCGACCUUGUUGUGGCAUUUCAUUUCCUCCACCUUGUCCUUGAUAGUGAAAGCCUCCUCCUCCGCCUUCCUCUUGGAGCCACAUCCUGCUUUGACGAUGAACGACGGCUCCUCGGCCUGCUGCUCGGCUCUUGCCUAGUGGACGCCUCCGCCUCCUCCUUCUCCGCCUGGGUCGCAGUGAAGGGUAAACCCUCAUAGACGGUUGCCAUCUGCACGGAGAACUGCAUCUUGUUGAUGAACAUCGCCGAGUCUGGUCUGCACCUCGCCGGGUUUGGUGGAUUGGGGAUUUCUCUCGCUGGAACGAACGUCAGGAAGCGGCGGCGGCUGGCAUAUAUAUGUCCAGACCACCAGCGUCUUCAGACCGGCCUCUUCCAGACUCGCUUAUUGGGCUGGGCCGGGAUGGGCCCCCGUCACUUCUUUCUUUCCGCUAGCCAGCUUGCGUGUCGGGAAAUAAAAAACUCAACUAGUAGAGUUUUGCCGGCGCUUUUGUUAGCUGGUCGGUAUUUUUCUCUGGAUUUUGUUAUUUGGAAAUGUUUCUAUUGAAAUAUAUUGCAGAAAAAAGUAUUUAAGAAUGGUA